AUUGAACGCUGGCGGCAUGCCUUACACAUGCAAGUCGAACGGCAGCACGGGUGCUUGCACCUGGUGGCGAGUGGCGAACGGGUGAGUAAUACAUCGGAACGUACCUUAUCGUGGGGGAUAACGCAGCGAAAGUUGCGCUAAUACCGCAUACGCCCUGAGGGGGAAAGCGGGGGACCGUAAGGCCUCGCGCGAUUAGAGCGGCCGAUGUCUGAUUAGCUUGUUGGUGAGGUAAAAGCUCACCAAGGCGAUGAUCAGUAGCUGGUCUGAGAGGACGAGCAGCCACACUGGGACGGAGACACGGCCCAGACUCCUACGGGAGGCAGCAGUGGGGAAUGUUGGACAAUGGGGGCAACCCUGAUCCAGCAAUGCCGCGUGAGUGAAGAAGGCCUUCGGGUUGUAAAGCUCUUUUGUCAGGGAAGAAACAGCAGCUCUAACACAGUCUGCGAAUGACGGUACCUGAAGAAUAAGCACCGGCUAACUACGUGCCAGCCGCCGCGGUAA
rnacentral:rRNA from 1 species